rnacentral:rRNA from 1 species
CGUGUAGGCGGUUUUAUAAGUCUGAUGUGAAAGCCCCGGGCUCAACCCGGGAAGUGCAUUGGAUACUGUAAGACUUGAAUACGGGAGAGGGCAGUGGAAUUCCUAGUGUAGGAGUGAAAUCCGUAGAUAUUAGGAGGAACACCGGUGGCGAAGGCGGCUGCCUGGACCGAUAUUGACGCUGAGACGCGAAAGUGUGGGUAGCAAACA